rnacentral:rRNA from 1 species
AGAUUGAACGCUGGCGGCAGGCCUAACACAUGCAAGUCGAGCGGUAGAGAGGUGCUUGCAUCUCUUGAGAGCGGCGGACGGGUGAGUAAUGCCUAGGAAUCUGCCUAGUGGUGGGGGAUAACGUUCGGAAACGGACGCUAAUACCGCAUACGUCCUACGGGAGAAAGCGGGGGACCUUCGGGCCUCGCGCCAUUAGAUGAGCCUAGGUCGGAUUAGCUAGUUGGUGAGGUAAUGGCUCACCAAGGCGACGAUCCGUAACUGGUCUGAGAGGAUGAUCAGUCACACUGGACUGAGACACGGUCCAGACUCCUACGGGAGCAGCAGUGGGGAAUACUGGAC